CAUUUCUAGGUUUUCAGAAAUUCAGCUCUAGGCCCCUCUCAAGGACACCUAGUCUGUUACAUAGUUCCCAGGGCCCUUAAGUGAAGACAGUCAAAUUAUCCAAGACACACACAGUUGUUCCUGACCCUAAGACUGAAAGGAGUGUUUCUCACAGAAGACUUUCUCAUGUGAUGAACAACAUCCCCUGUACUGUAUGGAAAGCUCACAAGAGGGCUCUGUCCCACUGCAGACCGUGGCAUUGUGCCAAAGCAGUUUUGCAGGGCCCACAGUGAUACAGCGGUGCAGUUUCUCAAGUUUUCCCUUCUGCCACAAAGUUCAAAACCGGAUGAUCUUAGUUCCUAGAGUUAACAUAAUAGCAUCCUCCUGAUUUCUUGUUUCCAUGUGUAUUUUGCUAGCUCUCUUGCCAUUUUGUUAUUAGCCACCUCUGGGUCCUUUAUUAAGAGGAGGCGGUUAUAACUAUAUUAGUCACCAGUCCCCACUCCCCGACCCAUAAUGUUUCUAUUUGAGUGAAAGAUUGUCUCAAGGAACUGUUCCCCAGACUGUCUCUCCCUACUUACUGUCCCCUACUAAAUUAUAAACUGUGCCCCACUCCUUUGCAGCCCUUACAUUAAGCAGAUGUUAUUAAAGUGUCAUAGAGUUAGACUGAAAUGAAUCAGAGGUGGUGAUCCCUCUCCUUUGCUCCUGCCCCAGGCAUACCUCCUAAUUGAGGAGGACAUCCGGGACCUCGCUGCCAGUGAUGACUACAGAGGAUGCCUGGACCUGAAGUUAGAGGAGCUGAAAUCCUUUGUCCUACCCUCCUGGAUGGUUGAGAAGAUGCGAAAGUACAUGGAGACACAACGGACAGAGAAUGAGCAUCGUGCUGUUGCACCUUCACAGACCUGAGCCAGGUCCCCUGGCUACACUUUCUACACUGGCAGCCCUCCUCCACGGCCCUCUUACCCACAUGGCCGAGGCCACUGCUGGGACUGCUCCUAGAUGGAUCUCAGCAGCAUUAAGCUAUGCCUGGGCUAGUUUGUAGUGACUCCUGCAGAGCACCCCCAGGCUGGCAUGUUGUUCUUUAUUUGUAAAGUUAUUGUGAUAAGAAGCAAUUAAAUCGUUUGUAAUAAUAAA